GAUAUUUCCAAGCCUGGUUCGACUGAAACAGUUAUGAUCACAGUGAGCUCACCCAGUACAGUGACUGCGGAAGUAGAUGAAAGUCUCCAGAAAUUACACCAGGCACUGAAUAGUGGCAACAUUCAGUCUAUUGCCAAGGCAGCAUUUUCUUGCCCUUCACUGAAGGACCAAUUGGUAGAGGGUGUGGUGAAAAUUCUUGACGACGAAUGUUCCACUCUAUGUCGUAACUCUGGGGAGUUUGUCUCUCUAUUUCACCGGGUUCCAAUUGACAAUGUGGAAGCGUUAUCGUGGAAACAGGCUGUGUCUGAACUACAGCGAAAGUCUCCGAUUCUAUUUAGGCUUAUCCAGACGAUCGUAGGACGUUCAGAUCAUAGGAACUUGCAUAAACGCGGAGAGAGUCGUGUAUGGCCACAGCAAUUCUCUUGAAAGAGCGUAACACAAGAAUGUGUGGUAUUCAGUCGUUUCUGUCUCUCGUACUCUUCAACUGUAGAGUAAACAAAAAGGUAUACUCCAGGCUGAAUCAUCUUAGUGUCACUAUCAGUUACUGUGCCGUGUUGAAGUUGGUCACGAAAAUCAGCAAGCUGUACCAACGUCCUAUCGAUGCCUGGAUUGAUGAGGGUGCAUGUUUCAAGUUCGUGGGGGACAACGUUGCUAAAACAAAGGGCGUUAGAGACAUUCGUAGUGACCAUCAUGGUGAGCUAGUGCAAAUGUACAGUUUGUUGGCAAAGGACCAUCUCCAGUCUCAACCUUUUCCCCCCUAACCUGGGUUCCCUAAAAAUAACUCACUUCCUUCCUACAAAGGCCGACAUUGAGGGCAUCCAAGAAAAUUUGGUCGUUCUAGUCGGUCAAAUACUGUGCGAGUACAUCAAGCCCCUCCAGCGGUACAAACGGUGUGUUGUCAGUCACAUUAAGCACCCCCACAGCACAGAGAUGGCCAAAAAAUCUGAGGUUGUAGUCCUUGAUGUUCUACACAAGAAUGAGGCAAAGGCCGCAGACAUGAUAGACAUAAUGAUCGAGAAACAUUCAUACUUGAAAGAUUCUAUUGAACUUACUGUUAUGUCAGGUGGCGAUCAGAUGACUUGUGAAAGACAGCGAUGUAGCAAAAACAUAUGCGAGAUGCGGACACUCGCAGUGGACGAUUGGAGCAGUUAGAGCCUUGUAUAGAGGACUGGCACUGCCUUAUGAGUAUUCUGGGGGUAGGUGAAGCACUCACUUGGACUUCUUAUCGACCCGUUUGUUUCCACUGAGUAUACCAGCAGGAACACCACGAUCAUGUAGACUAGUCACUUGAUCUACCAUUAGAGACACUAGGGGACAAUACUACGCUCACUAGGAGGAGAACUAAUUCUAUCCAGCUUCUUGUCGAAUAAAAAAGGCAAAGUUUGGUAGCAGAUAGACUUUCAUAUCCAGUAGGAACCCACAGGAAAACAUCAUUCCCUUCGUACAGCAUCCGUAGAGUGUCAAGCUGUUUAUCCCUCAGAACUAAAUGACUUCUCUUCACACAAGAAAGG